rnacentral:rRNA from 1 species
UACGUAGGGGGCUAGCGUUGUCCGGAUUUAUUGGGCGUAAAGAGCGUGUAGGCGGCCGAGUAAGUCCGGUGUGAAAACUCGAGGCUUAACCUCGAGAUGUCAUCGGAAACUAUUCGGCUAGAGUCCGGAAGAGGAGAGUGGAAUUCCUGGUGUAGCGGUGAAUGCGCAGAUAUCAGGAAGAACACCUAUGGCGAAAGCAGCUCUCUGGGACGGUACUGACGCUGAGACGCGAAAGCGUGGGGAGCGAACAGG